AAAAACACAGGUCAUUUCAUGCCUCACCCACAUUUUUUGGCAUUACAAGACCAUCUAACUCCCACUUGGCAAAACCAGACAAUUUCCUGGUGUCUUUUACUCCUGAUCACACUAAUUCGUUUGGACAGGAAACAUAAAUGAAGUACCUACAAAAAUGCAAAAGUUUAUGAGCACACAUAGUUGGGCCUUUUACAGCCUUUGAUUCUCAAGACAGAAGCCUCUCUAUCUUGGAGCUUUUUCAACAAAGAUUACGUUAGAAGCAAAUUUGCUUUGAAUCAAUUUUACACAUCACAAAACAAUCUUGUAAAGAAACACAGAACCGUAUACGAUUCCGACAACGAAUCAUGAAGAGAAUACUACAAUCUGGAAUGCCUUGAAUGUGCUAUUGGCCUUGUCAGGACGUCUUAGAACAAGGACAACUUGAUCUUUGACAACUAGAACAAAAGAACAUGUUAGUUUUCAAUGACUGGGAGCAGCAAUGAGCAAGAAAAAUGAAAUAAACCAUUUUGUAACGCCAAUACUAAUUAUUGGAUA
rnacentral:lncRNA from 1 species